GCUGACACAUUCCAGCCAAUCAGCAGCAGACCCUCCCUCCCAGGCCCUCCCACCUCCUGGACAGCAUCCAUUUUGAAGCUGCAUUCUUAGUGAGCUGUCCAGGAGGUGGGAGGGUCUGGGAGGGAGGGUCUGCUGCUGAUUGGCUGGAAUGUGUCAG